rnacentral:rRNA from 1 species
UACAGAGGGGGCAAGCGUUGUUCGGAAUUACUGGGCGUAAAGGGCGCGUAGGCGGCCUUCUAAGUCGAACGUGAAAUCCCCGGGCUCAACCCGGGAACUGCGUCCGAUACUGGAAGGCUUGAAUCCGGGAGAGGGAUGCGGAAUUCCAGGUGUAGCGGUGAAAUGCGUAGAUAUCUGGAGGAACACCGGUGGCGAAGGCGGCAUCCUGGACCGGCAUUGACGCUGAUGCGCGAAAGCAAGGGGAGCGAACGGG